GACGUAGGGGCCAAGCGUUGUCCGGAUUUAUUGGGCGUAAAGAGCUCGUAGGCGGUUCGGCAAGUCGAAUGUGAAAUCUCCACGCUCAACGUGGAGGGGUCAUUCGAUACUGCCGUGACUUGAGUACGGUAGGGGAGUGUGGAAUUCCCGGUGUAGCGGUGAAAUGCGCAGAGAUCGGGAGGAACACCCGUAGCGAAGGCGGCACUCUGGGCCGAUACUGACGCUGAGGAGCGAAAGCGUGGGGAGCGAACAGG
rnacentral:rRNA from 1 species